ensembl:miRNA mir193b microRNA 193b
GUGAUUUCAGUGACGGGACUUUGGGGGCGAGAUGAGUAUUGAUCUCUAUCCAACUGGCCCGCAAAGUCCCGCUUCUGGGACUCAC